rnacentral:rRNA from 1 species
GCGGCGUGCUUCAUACAUGCAAGUCGAACGAGAAGCAGGAGCUUGCUCCUGUGGAAAGUGGCGGACGGGUGAGUAACACGUAGGAAAUCUGCCUUUGGGUGGGGGACAACAGUUGGAAACGACUGCUAAUACCCCAUAUGAGCUUGGUUGCAAUACCAAUCUUGAAAACUCCGGUGCCUAAAGAUGAGCCUGCGUCUGAUUAGCUUGUUGGCGGGAUAAUGGCCCACCAAGGCGACGAUCAGUAGCUGGUUUGAGAGGAUGAUCAGCCACAAUGGGACUGAGACACGGCCCAUACUCCUACGGGAGGCAGCGGUAGGGAAUUUUGCGCAAUGGGGGAAACCCUGACGCAGCAACGCCGCGUGAAUGACGAAGCCCUUCGGGGUGUAAAGUUCUGUCAGUAGGGAAGAAUUUUGACUGUACCUACAAAGGAAGCACCGGCUAACUCCGUGCCAGCCGCCGCCGUAA